rnacentral:rRNA from 1 species
GACGAACGCUGGCGGCGUGCCUAAUACAUGCGAGUCGAACGAGAGCAACCGGUGCUUGCACUGGUCAAUCUAGUGGCGAACGGGUGAGUAACACGUGGGUAACCUGCCCAUCAGAGGGGGAUAACAUCCGGAAACGGAUGCUAAAACCGCAUAGGUCUUCGAACCGCAUGGUUUGAAGAGGAAAAGAGGCGCAAGCUUCUGCUGAUGGAUGGACCCGCGGUGCAUUAGCUAGUUGGUGAGGUAACGGCUCACCAAGGCCGUGAUGCAUAGCCGACCUGAGAGGGUGAUCGGCCACAUUGGGACUGAGACACGGCCCAAACUCCUACGGGAGGCAGCAGUAGGGAAUCUUCCGCAAUGGACGCAAGUCUGACGGAGCAACGCCGCGUGAGUGAAGAAGGUUUUCGGAUCGUAAAACUCUGUUGUUAGAGAAGAACAAGUGCUAGAGUAACUGUUAGCGCCUUGACGGUAUCUAACCAGAAAGCCACGGCUAACUACGUG